rnacentral:rRNA from 1 species
UACGAAGGGGGCUAGCGUUGCUCGGAAUUACUGGGCGUAAAGGGAGCGUAGGCGGGUCGUCAAGUUGGGGGUGAAAGCCCAGGGCUCAACCUUGGAAUUGCCUUCAAAACUGACGAUCUAGAGUAUGGAAGAGGUAAGUGGAACUCCGAGUGUAGAGGUGAAAUUCGUAGAUAUUCGGAAGAACACCAGUGGCGAAGGCGACUUACUGGUCCAUGACUGACGCUGAGGCUCGAAAGCGCGGGGAGCAAACAGG